CUUAAGUGCACUGUGCAGUUCUGUAAUUAUCUGUACACUUGUAUAUCUUGGUGCGGCUGUCAGUCUGUGAGUAAAACUCGACUGUUUGUAUUUCAAGCUUCUGGUUGGCAGAUCGUAUUGUAUUCCAGCCCCUUUGGUGUAAAUGUGAAAUAGUUGUAAUUUGACAUUGUUGCAUGUAUAAUUAACCUGUGUAUCCUUGUUGAGCCUUCUGUUUUGAAAGACUGUAAAUGUGAGCAAAUUUUAUGGCAAUUUGACUGUAUUCUGGUUCCCAAUCUUUGAGAGGCUUUCAUUUUAAUUGGGGGGAUUUUUUUUUUUUUUUUUUUAUAAUCUUCAAACUUGUUAGCACUUUUAAGACUGGUAUAAAGAUUGAUCACGUACUCCAUUUUACAGUACUAAACUGGCAUUGCAUGAGUAAUUCAAUAUGGUGGCCAUUAUUUAAUUUCAAAAC